GGAGAGUGUGAAUGGGUUUGGCCGAUUAGGGAUUCAAGCUGGCCUGUUGAACACUCCCGCCGGCAAUGCUGUCAACGCACAUGCAGCUCUCCUCUGCUUCAUCGUUAUUCCUCUGUUGUUCCAGGAACGAAGAAGGGUAGAGGGCAUUGCAUCCUGCUAUAACUAUGCAGUUAAAGAUAAUCAACAAACAUGCGAUCAGAGGUAAUUAGCAAGAUUACCUUUGUUUAGGGUCCAAUGCAUCAGUGCAUCUUACUAUAACUGUCAAAAUGUAAGGUGUUGAAGUUGGUUGGAUAAGGUUUAUGCCAUCAAGAUCACUUUAGAUAUGAAAAGUAAAACAAAAGAGGGAUUCCUAGAUUUUUUUUACAAAUAUAUAUAUAGUUAGGUUUCUUGUGCUGAAA